UACGUAGGGUGCAAGCGUUGUCCGGAAUUAUUGGGCGUAAAGAGCUCGUAGGCGGUUUGUCGCGUCAAUGCGAAAACCCGGGGCUCAACCCCGGGCCUGCAUUCGAUACGGGCAGACUAGAGUUCGGUAGGGGAGUCUGGAAUUCCUGGUGUAGCGGUGAAAUGCGCAGAUAUCAGGAGGAACACCGGUGGCGAAGGCGGGACUCUGGGCCGAUACUGACGCUGAGGAGCGAAAGCGUGGGGAGCAAACAGG
rnacentral:rRNA from 1 species